GACGAACGCUGGCGGCGUGCCUAAUACAUGCAAGUCGAGCGAAGUUUUUCUGGUGCUUGCACCGGAAAAACUUAGCGGCGAACGGGUGAGUAACACGUAAAGAACCUGCCUCAUAGACUGGGACAACUAUUGGAAACGAUAGCUAAUACCGGAUAAUAGCAUUAACUGCAUGGUUGAUAUUUAAAAGUUGGUUUUGCUAACACUAUGAGAUGGCUUUGCGGUGCAUUAGCUAGUUGGUGGGGUAAAGGCCUACCAAGGCGACGAUGCAUAGCCGACCUGAGAGGGUGAUCGGCCACACUGGGACUGAGACACGGCCCAGACUCCUACGGGAGGCAGCAGUAGGGAAUCUUCCGCAAUGGGCGAAAGCCUGACGGAGCAACGCCGCGUGAGUGAAGAAGGAUUUCGGUUCGUAAAGCUCUGUUGUUAGGGAAGAAUGAUUGUGUAGUAACUAUACACAGUAGAGACGGUACCUAACCAGAAAGCCACGGCUAACUACGUG
rnacentral:rRNA from 1 species